AUGAUGAUGUCAAACUUUCUACUGCUGGUGAUGCUGGGACUCCUUGUACAGGAAUCAAUGUCAGAAAUAGUGCUGACUCAGGAUCCAGCAGCUCAUUCUGUUCAGCAGGGAGACACUGUCUCUGUCAGCUGUACAGCCAGUCAGAGUGUUACAAUUGGCUCCUACCACUACCUCAACUGGUACCAGCAGAAACCUGGUCAGGCUCCUAAACUUCUGAUUUAUCUUGCCACAAGUCGCCAGUCUGGGAUUCCUGAUCGUUUCAGUGGGAGUGGAUCUGGGACUCAGUUUACACUGAAAAUCACUGGAGUCCAGGCUGAAGAUGCAGGAGAUUAUUACUGUCAGCAGAGCAGGAGCUCGUCUGACACAGUGAUACAGAGCCGGGGUGACAAUGAGCCACAGUCCUGA